AGUGAACGCUGGCGGUAGGCCUAACACAUGCAAGUCGAACGGCAGCACAGUAAGAGCUUGCUCUUACGGGUGGCGAGUGGCGGACGGGUGAGGAAUACAUCGGAAUCUACUUUUUCGUGGGGGAUAACGUAGGGAAACUUACGCUAAUACCGCAUACGACCUACGGGCGAAAGCAGGGGAUCUUCGGACCUUGCGCGAUUGAAUAAGCCGAUGUCGGAUUAGCUAGUUGGCGGGGUAAAGGCCCACCAAGGCGACGAUCCGUAGCUGGUCUGAGAGGAUGAUCAGCCACACUGGAACUGAGACACGGUCCAGACUCCUACGGGAGGCAGCAGUGGGGAAUAUUGGACAAUGGGCGCAAGCCUGAUCCAGCCAUACCGCGUGGGUGAAGAAGGCCUUCGGGUUGUAAAGCCCUUUUGUUGGGAAACAAAAGCAGCAGGUUAAUACCCCGCUGUUCUGACGGUACCCAAAGAAUAAGCACCGGCUAACUUCGUG
rnacentral:rRNA from 1 species